rnacentral:rRNA from 1 species
CGAACGGGUGAGUAACACGUGAGUAACCUGCCCCUGACUCUGGGAUAAGCGUUGGAAACGACGUCUAAUACUGGAUAUGAUCACCGGCCGCAUGGUCUGGUGGUGGAAAGAUUUUUUGGUUGGGGAUGGACUCGCGGCCUAUCAGCUUGUUGGUGAGGUAAUGGCUCACCAAGGCGACGACGGGUAGCCGGCCUGAGAGGGUGACCGGCCACACUGGGACUGAGACACGGCCCAGACUCCUACGGGAGGCAGCAGUGGGGAAUAUUGCACAAUGGGCGAAAGCCUGAUGCAGCAACGCCGCGUGAGGGAUGACGGCCUUCGGGUUGUAAACCUCUUUUAGUAGGGAAGAAGCGAAAGUGACGGUACCUGCAGAAAAAGCACCGGCUAACUACGUGCCAGCAGCCGCGGUAAUACGUAAGGUGCAAGCGUUGUCCGGAAUUAUUGGGCGUAAAGAGCUCGUAUGCGGUUUGUCGCGUCUGCUGUGAAAUCCCGAGGCUCAACCUCGGGCUUGCAGUGGGUACGGGCAGACUAGAGUGCGGUAGGGUGAGAU